GACGAACGCUGGCGGCGUGCUUAACACAUGCAAGUCGAACGGAAAGGCCCUGCUUUUGUGGGGUGCUCGAGUGGCGAACGGGUGAGUAACACGUGAGUAACCUGCCCUUGACUUUGGGGUAACUUCAGGGAACUGGGGCUAAUACCGGAUAGGAGCUCCUGCUGCAUGGUGGGGGUUGGAAAGUUUCGGCGGUUGGGGAUGGACUCGAGGCUUAUCAGCUUGUUUGUGGGGUAGUGGCUUACCAAGGCUUUGACGGGUAGCCGGCCUGAGAGGGUGACCGGCCACAUUGGGACUGAGAUACGGCCCAGACGCCUACGGGAGGCAGCAGUGGGGAAUAUUGCACAAUGGGCGGAAGCCUGAUGCAGCAACGCCGCGUGCGGGAUGACGGCCUUCUGGUUGUAAACCGCUUUCGCCUGUGACGAAGCGUGAGUGACGGUAAUGGGUAAAGAAGCACCGGCUAACUACGUG
rnacentral:rRNA from 1 species